rnacentral:rRNA from 1 species
GACGAACGCUGGCGGCGUGCUUAACACAUGCAAGUCGAACGAUGAAGCCGGAGCUUGCUCUGGUGAAUUAGUGGCGAACGGGUGAGUAACACGUGAGUAACCUGCCCUUGACUCUGGGUUAACUGCGGGAAACUGUAGCUAAUACCGGAUACGACCCUCGGAGGCAUCUCCUGGGGGUGGAAAGAAUUUCGGCCAAGGAUGGACUCGCGGCCUAUCAGCUAGUUGGUGGGGUAAAGGCUCACCCAGGCGACGACGGGUAGCCGGCCUGAGAGGGUGACCGGCCACACUGGGACUGAGACGUGGCCCAGGCUCCUGCGGGGGGCAGCAGUGGGGAAUGUUGCAGAAUGGGCGCGGGCGUGAUGCAGCAACGCCGGGUGAGGGGUGAGGGCCUUCGGAUUGUAAGCCUCUUUUAGCGGGGAGGAAGGGAGAGUGACGGUACCUGCAGAAAAAGCACCGGCUAACUACGUGCCAGCCGCCGCCGUAA